AUUGUAAUUUAAGGUCUGGUCUGCCCAAUGAUAAGAUGGAAAUGGCCGCGAUAUUUUGAUCGUGCGAAGGUAGCAUAAUCAUUAGUUUUUUAAUUGAGAGCUGGUAUGAAGGAUCGGACGAGAUACAUUCUGUCUCAGAAUUAAGAGUUGAAUUUUAUUUUUAAGUUAAAAAGCUUAAAUUGUUUUGAAAGACGAGAAGACCCUAUAGAGUUUUAUAUUUUAUUUUUAUAAGUUAUUAUAGGAGUAGGAAUUCUUAUAAUUUAAGAAUAUUUGAUUGGGGUGAUAGAAAAAUUUAAUAAACUUUUUCUUUUAAAAAUAUAGAUUUAUAAGUUUAUGACUUAAAUUGUUAGUUAAAAGAUUAAAUUACCUUAGGGAUAACAGCGUAAUUUUUCUAAAGAGUUCAUAUCGAAAGAAAAGAUUGCGACCUCGAUGUUGGAUUAAAGUUAAAAUUUGGUGUAGAAGCUAAAUGUUUUAGUCUGUUCGACUAUUAAAACUUUACAUGAUCUGAGUUUAGACCGGCGUGAGCCAGGUUAGUUUCUAUCUUCAAUAGUUUAAAAUAUUUUAGUACGAAAGGACCAAAUAUUAAUUUAAUUAAAUUAGUUUAUGAAUAACAUU
rnacentral:rRNA from 1 species